ACAUGCAAGUCGAGGGGCAGCGAGGGUAGCAAUACCUGUCGGCGACCGGCGCACGGGUGAGUAACGCGUAUGUAACCUGCCCGCAACAGGGGGAUAACCCGGCGAAAGUCGGACUAAUACCGCAUAAAACAGGGGUCCCGCAUGGGAAUAUUUGUUAAAGAUUUAUCGGUUGCGGAUGGGCAUGCGUACCAUUAGGUAGUUGGUGAGGUAACGGCUCACCAAGCCUUCGAUGGUUAGGGGUUCUGAGAGGAAGGUCCCCCACACUGGUACUGAGACACGGACCAGACUCCUACGGGAGGCAGCAGUGAGGAAUAUUGGUCAAUGGGCGAGAGCCUGAACCAGCCAAGUCGCGUGAAGGAUGACUGCCCUAUGGGUUGUAAACUUCUUUUACAAGGGAAUAAAAUGAGAUACGUGUAUUUU
rnacentral:rRNA from 1 species